CGGUAUAGGAAUAAAGAUACAUGCAAUGAUGAUGAACGUGAUGUUGUCAUACGGCCGGCAAGUGUGCCAUGGCUUGUAAAUAACAUGAUGGUUAUUGUGAAUUGUUGUGUUGGUGGUCAUUGUUAUUUUUUCCCCGUCAAGGGAUGAUGGCCACGUUUUUGAUAGAGCAAAUCAUUUAUUUUUUUGGCCAGUUGCAAACAAUGUUGUGUUGUUUGUGGUGGUUUUUAGCCAGUUGGUUGGACUCGUUCCAGCUUGAAGGGUUGGUCUUUUGACUGAUUUUUUAUGGAGAGUUUGAUCCUGGCUCAGGACGAACGCUGGCGGCGUGCUUAACACAUGCAAGUCGAACGGAAAGGCCUAGCUUGCUAGGUACUCGAGUGGCGAACGGGUGAGUAACACGUGGGUGAUCUGCCUCGUACUUCGGGAUAAGCCUGGGAAACUGGGUCUAAUACUGGAUAGGACCAUGCUUUAGUGUGUGUGGUGGAAAGUUUUUUCGGUACGAGAUGAGCCCGCGGCCUAUCAGCUUGUUGGUGGGGUAAUGGCCUACCAAGGCGUCGACGGGUAGCCGGCCUGAGAGGGUGGACGGCCACAUUGGGACUGAGAUACGGCCCAGACUCCUACGGGAGGCAGCAGUGGGGAAUAUUGCACAAUGGGCGCAAGCCUGAUGCAGCGACGCCGCGUGGGGGAUGACGGCCUUCGGGUUGUAAACCUCUUUCGCUAGGGACGAAGCUUUUGUGACGGUACCUAGAUAAGAAGCACCGGCUAACUACGUGCCAGCAGCCGCGGUAAUACGUAGGGUGCGAGCGUUGUCCGGAAUUACUGGGCGUAAAGAGCUCGUAGGUGGUUUGUCGCGUCGUCUGUGAAAUUCCGGGGCUUAACUUCGGGCGUGCAGGCGAUACGGGCAUAACUUGAGUGCUGUAGGGGAGACUGGAAUUCCUGGUGUAGCGGUGGAAUGCGCAGAUAUCAGGAGGAACACCGAUGGCGAAGGCAGGUCUCUGGGCAGUAACUGACGCUGAGGAGCGAAAGCAUGGGGAGCGAACAGGAUUAGAUACCCUGGUAGUCCAUGCCGUAAACGGUGGGCGCUAGGUGUGAGGGUCUUCCACGACUUUCGUGCCGUAGCUAACGCAUUAAGCGCCCCGCCUGGGGAGUACGGCCGCAAGGCUAAAACUCAAAGGAAUUGACGGGGGCCCGCACAAGCGGCGGAGCAUGUGGAUUAAUUCGAUGCAACGCGAAGAACCUUACCUGGGCUUGACAUAUGCAGGAUCGGCGUAGAGAUACUUUUCCCUUGUGGUCUGUAUACAGGUGGUGCAUGGUUGUCGUCAGCUCGUGUCGUGAGAUGUUGGGUUAAGUCCCGCAACGAGCGCAACCCUUGUCUUAUGUUGCCAGCACGUGAUGGUGGGGACUCAUGAGAGACUGCCGGGGUUAACUCGGAGGAAGGUGGGGAUGACGUCAAAUCAUCAUGCCCCUUAUGUCCAGGGCUUCACACAUGCUACAAUGGUCGGUACAACGCGCUGCGAGCCUGUGAGGGUGAGCGAAUCGCUGAAAGCCGGCCUCAGUUCGGAUUGGGGUCUGCAACUCGACCCCAUGAAGUCGGAGUCGCUAGUAAUCGCAGAUCAGCAACGCUGCGGUGAAUACGUUCCCGGGCCUUGUACACACCGCCCGUCACGUCAUGAAAGUUGGUAACACCCGAAGCCAGUGGCCUAACCCUUUGUGGGGGGAGCUGUCGAAGGUGGGAUCGGCGAUUGGGACGAAGUCGUAACAAGGUAGCCGUACCGGAAGGUGCGGCUGGAUCACCUCCUUUCUAAGGAGUUUUUAUUGUUGGGUGACAGUUGUUGCCUGUUUUGUUUUUUGUAUCCGGGUGGAUGCGUGUGACCC
rnacentral:rRNA from 1 species